rnacentral:ncRNA from 1 species
UACCCGGUUGAUCCUGCCGGUCGUAUAUGCUUGUCCAUCGGACUAAGCCAUGCAUGCGAGAGUUCAGAGACCUUAAACAAUUGAAACUGCGAAUGGCUCAUUAAAUCAGUUAUGAUUCACUUGAAGAGUCGAAUUUUGUACAUGGCUAGCCGUGACAAAUUCAGGAGAUAAUACAUGCACAACAGUCCCAA